rnacentral:rRNA from 1 species
GACAGAGGGUGCGAGCGUUGUUCGGAAUUACUGGGCGUAAAGCGUGCGUAGGCGGUUAUUUAAGUCGGGUGUGAAAGCCCCGGGCUCAACCUGGGAAUUGCAUUCGAGACUGAAUAGCUAGAGUACGGUAGAGGGGAGUGGAAUUUCCGGUGUAGCGGUGAAAUGCGUAGAUAUCGGAAGGAACACCAGUGGCGAAAGCGACUUCCUGGACCAGUACCGACGUUCAGGCACGAAAGCGUGGGGAGCAAACAGG